rnacentral:tRNA from 1 species
UGGGCUGUGGCUCAGUGGUAGAGCACUCGCCUGGCAUGUGUGAGGCACUGGGUUUGCUCCUCAGCACCACAU